ACUUCCAUCAAAUUCAGGACGAAACUGAUAACAACUAGAAGAGCAGGAUGAUGGCGUCAAAUUCAACUGUGAUUUUGAUGGAGAUGUGAUGAAGAUGGUGAAAGGGGUGGAGCUCCAGUUGUUUGAAUUGGCU